UACGGGGGGGGCAAGCGUUGUUCGGAAUUACUGGGCGUAAAGGGCUCGUAGGCGGCCAACUAAGUCGAACGUGAAAUCCCCAGGCUCAACCUGGGAACUGCGUCCGAUACUGGCAGGCUUGAAUCCGGGAGAGGGAUGUGGAAUUCCAGGUGUAGCGGUGAAAUGCGCAGAUAUCAGGAGGAACACCGGUGGCGAAGGCGGGUCUCUGGGCCGAUACUGACGCUGAGGAGCGAAAGCGUGGGGAGCAAACAGG
rnacentral:rRNA from 1 species